rnacentral:rRNA from 1 species
ACGAACGCUGGCGGCGUGCUUAACACAUGCAAGUCGAACGGAAAGGCCCUGCUUUUGUGGGGUGCUCGAGUGGCGAACGGGUGAGUAACACGUGGGUAACCUGCCCUUGACUUUGGGAUAACUUCAGGAAACUGGGGCUAAUACCGGAUAGGAGCUCCUGCUGCAUGGUGGGGGGUGGAAAGUUUCGGCGGUUGGGGAUGGACUCGCGGCUUAUCAGCUUGUUGGUGGGGUAGUGGCUUACCAAGGCUUUGACGGGUAGCCGGCCUGAGAGGGUGACCGGCCACAUUGGGACUGAGAUACGGCCCAGACUCCUACGGGAGGCAGCAGUGGGGAAUAUUGCACAAUGGGCGGAAGCCUGAUGCAGCAACGCCGCGUGCGGGAUGACGGCCUUCGGGUUGUAAACCGCUUUCGCCUGUGACGAAGCGUGAGUGACGGUAAUGGGUAAAGAAGCACCGGCUAACUACGUG